GGGUAUUUGGAAAUGUUAAUUAUCUGAUCUUUGGCAAUUUUGCCCAGCAGAAUUAAGCUAAUUUUAUGGUUCUAUCUUUAAUUAAUGCAUGACUGAGCAAUGCUUCCUUUAUAGGUCAGUUUCCUGUUUCUUUGUCAUGGAUGGAUGUAUUUAUUGGAAAAUGGGACAAAGUAACUUAAUACAAAGAAAUUUUACAUUUGAUUUUCUAUGCCUUUUAGAUCACCUCUAAUUUAAAGAUUGAUUGCAAA
rnacentral:lncRNA from 1 species